CUAUCGAGGUCGAUAGAUCUCAUCUUUGUACAACCUAAAUCCUACAAUGAGCAUAUUGCACCUAAGAUACACCUCAAGGCUCCGUAUGGUUAGGAGCUCGAGUUAUUGUGUAGUGAAACUAUAGCACCCUUAAGAUGAAUGGUCGAUGCACCUUAGAUCAGAGAACUAAACAUACAACCACAACUAUGAACAUGUCACUGAUGAGAA
rnacentral:lncRNA from 1 species